UACAGAGGUCCCAAGCGUUACUGAGAAUCACUGGGUUUAAAGGGUGCGUAGGUGAUCCGUUAAGUCAGUUGUGAAAUCCCCGGGCUCAACCCGGGAACUGCUUCUGAUACUGGCGGACUUGAGGCCGGUAGGGGUCACUGGAACUGACGGUGGAGCGGUGAAAUGCGUAGAUAUCGUCAGGAACGCCGGUGGUGAAGACGGGUGACUUGGCCGGUUCUGACACUGAGGCACGAAAGCGUGGGGAGCGAACGGG
rnacentral:rRNA from 1 species